rnacentral:rRNA from 1 species
GGGGGGGGGGGGGGGGGGGCCGGGGAGGGGCGGGGCGAGCGAACAGACGGGGAGCUUGCUCCUCUGACGUUAGCGGCGGACGGGGGAGUAACACGUGGAUAACCUACCUAUAAGACUGGGAUAACUUCGGGAAACCGGAGCUAAUACCGGAUAAUAUAUUGAACCGCAUGGUUCAAUAGUGAAAGACGGUUUUGCUGUCACUUAUAGAUGGAUCCGCGCCGCAUUAGCUAGUUGGUAAGGUAACGGCUUACCAAGGCAACGAUGCGUAGCCGACCUGAGAGGGUGAUCGGCCACACUGGAACUGAGACACGGUCCAGACUCCUACGGGAGGCAGCAGUAGGGAAUCUUCCGCAAUGGGCGAAAGCCUGACGGAGCAACGCCGCGUGAGUGAUGAAGGUCUUCGGAUCGUAAAACUCUGUUAUUAGGGAAGAACAAAUGUGUAAGUAACUAUGCACGUCUUGACGGUACCUAAUCAGAAAGCCACGGCUAACUACGUG